CUUCCGUGAUGAUCCGAUGACGAGUCAGAACCGGACGCCGUCCUGCUCGGAGUAACCAGCUCGGGGCCACGUUCUGUGGGGCCGCGCUCGGGUGCUCCGACAGGCGUGUCCUCUUCCUUGGAUGACAGAGGCAUUUGUCUGAGAAGG